rnacentral:rRNA from 1 species
GACGAACGCUGGCGGCGUGCUUAACACAUGCAAGUCGAACGGAAAGGCCCUGCUUUUGUGGGGUGCUCGAGUGGCGAACGGGUGAGUAACACGUGAGUAACCUGCCCUUGACUUUGGGAUAACUUCAGGAAACUGGGGCUAAUACCGGAUAGGAGCUCCUGCUGCAUGGUGGGGGUUGGAAAGUUUCGGCGGUUGGGGAUGGACUCGCGGCUUAUCAGCUUGUUGGUGGGGUAGUGGCUUACCAAGGCUUUGACGGGUAGCCGGCCUGAGAGGGUGACCGGCGACAUUGGGACUGAGAUACGGCCCAGACUCCUACGGGAGGCAGCAGUGGGGAAUAUUGCACAAUGGGCGGAAGCCUGAUGCAGCAACGCCGCGUGCGGGAUGACGGCCUUCGGGCUGUAAACCGCUUUCGCCUGUGACGAAGCGUGAGUGACGGUAAUGGGUAAAGAAGCACCGGCUAACUACGUG